rnacentral:rRNA from 1 species
UACGGAGGGUGCGAGCGUUGUUCGGAAUUAUUGGGCGUAAAGCGCGUGCAGGCGGCCUGCUAGUCUGAUGUGAAAGCCCUGGGCUCAACCCAGGAAGUGCAUUGGAAACUGGUAGGCUUGAGUACGGGAGAGGAAAGUGGAAUUCCGAGUGUAGGGGUGAAAUCCGUAGAUAUUCGGAGGAACACCAGUGGCGAAGGCGGCUUUCUGGACCGAUACUGACGCUGAGACGCGAAAGCGUGGGGAGCAAACAGGAUUAGAUACCCUGGUAGUCCACGCCGUAAACGAUGGGUACUAGGUGUUGCGGGUAUUGACCCCUGCAGUGCCAAAGCUAACGCAUUAAGUACCCCGCCUGGGGAGUACGGCCGCAAGGCUAAA